rnacentral:rRNA from 1 species
CGAGCGUUAGGCGGAAUCACUGGGCUUAAAGCGUGUGUAGGCGGAUGGGUAAGUACCUUGUGAAAUCCCACGGCUCAACCGUGGAACUGCUCGGUAUACUGCUCGUCUUGAGCCAACUAGGGGCGACCGGAACAAACGGUGGAGCGGUGAAAUGCGUAGAUAUCGUUUGGAACGCCGAUGGUGAAAACAGGUCGCUGGGGUUGUGCUGACGCUGAGACACGAAAGCCAGGGGAGCGAACGGG